UACGUAGGGGGCAAGCGUUGUCCGGAAUCAUUGGGCGUAAAGCGCGCGUAGGCGGCCCUGUAAGUCCGCUGUAAAAGUCAAAGGCUCAACCUUUGAAAGCCGGUGGAUACUGCAGGGCUAGAGUCCGGAAGAGGCGAGUGGAAUUCCUGGUGUAGCGGUGGAAUGCGCAGAUAUCAGGAGGAACACCAAUAGCGAAGGCAGAUCUCUGGGCCGUAACUGACGCUGAGGAGCGAAAGCAUGGGGAGCGAACAGG
rnacentral:rRNA from 1 species